AUGGGGACCUUCGGUGGCCAGUUCGAGGACUUCCACGCAGACGACCGGCGUGCGGAGGUGAUAGAUUGGCUCGGCGGGCUGCUGCCGGAGUUCGAUUUGCCGCUGGAUUCUUCAGACGAGGAGCUGCGGGAGUACCUUAUCGAUGGGACGGCGCUGUGCUACACUGCGGACAAGCUCAUGCCUGGUGUUCUGGAGGGGGUUUGGGGUGGUUAUGCAUCAGACCAUCGGUCAAAUGUGAAGAAGUUCCUCUCUGUUAUCGCGGAGAUGGGGCUGCCAGGAUUCAGCGUCAAGGAUCUUGAGGAGGGAUCAAUGUCGUCUAUAGUAGAGUGUCUCUUGGCUCUAAGAGAUAAUGUGUCAGCAGGAUUGGGUGAAAAUAUGUCUAACUAUGCUGCUAAGACUCCUUCAAGGCCUGUGGCUCCAGUUUCCACACCAGGAAGGAGAUCUCCUGGAGAGGAUAGAAGAAGGGGUGUUUGGGACGCCAAAUCCCCACAAAGAAGUCCACUUCUUUCAGGACAGAAGGCCAACGAGGUUUUCCAAUUUAAGCGUGGACAAUACACAGAUCUUCCUGCUGCUAAGAUUUCAGAGAUGAUCCAGUCAAACAGUUUAGAUAAUGCCCCCACUCAAUCACUUCUUAGAGUUGUUAACGGCAUUCUGGAUGAAAGUAUUGAGAGAAAAAGAGGAGAAAUACCACAUCGAGUUGUUUAUUUACUAAGGAACGUUGUUCAAGAGAUUGAGCACCGCAUUUCUAUUCAAGCAGAACACAUUAGAAAUCAAAAUAACAUCAUCAAAACACGCGAGGAUAAGUACCGUUCAAAAAUUAAAGCACUCGAGACAUUAGUAAAUGGAACAAAUGAAGAAAACGAGAUGGCAAUAAACCGUCUUGAGCUAGUUAAGGUAGAGAAGUCAAAAAUUGAUGAGAGAAGAAAGAUAGGCGAGCAAGACAUGGUCCGGCUGAUGCGUGAAAAGGAAAAUGCAGAGAAUACAGUUACUAACCUUCAGCAGGAAAUUCAAGUCAUGAGCAGGAUGUUCGAAGAAUACAGGGAGCAGAUGGAAGAAAAAACAAGCCAAAUGGAGGAACACUUGACUCUAAGAGCUAAGGAGGCAGAGUUUCUUCUUAUGCAAUCGAAAAAGAGAGUUGAAGAACUUGAAACUGCUUCUGAACUACAAUUGCAACUCUGGAGCAAGAAGGCAAAUACUUUUCGAAGUUUUAUGGAUAACCAAAAACUGUGUAUUAAGGAUAUAAGGAUAUCGUCUCAGUCAAUUAAGCAGGAAAUGUUUGCCCUUCAAAUGAAAUGGAGGGAUGAAAUAUCUAACAUGGGACUUGACCUAAAAGGUUUGGUAGAUGCCGCUGAAAAUUACCAUGGCGUUCUUGCUGAAAAUCAGAAGUUAUUUAAUGAAGUGCAAGAACUAAAAGGUAAUAUAAGAGUAUACUGUCGUGUCAGACCAUUUCUUCCUGGUCAAGACGGAAAAUCAACCGCAGUUGAUUAUAUUGGUGAGAAUGGUGAAAUUCUCAUUUCAAACCCCUCCAAGCAAGGAAAGGAUGGCUAUCGGAUGUUCAAGUUUAACAAGAUCUUUAAUACACAUGUUUCUCAAGCUGAAGUUUUCUCCGAUAUCCAGCCUUUGAUUAGAUCUGUUCUUGAUGGAUUCAAUGUGUGCAUUUUUGCAUACGGCCAAACUGGAUCUGGCAAAACAUAUACAAUGAGCGGCCCCGGCAAAUCAAAAGAAGAUUGGGGUGUUAACUAUCGAGCUUUAAAUGACUUGUUUGAUAUCUCGUUAAAAAGGAGAAACACUUUCUCAUAUGAGGUGGAAGUGCAAAUGGUUGAAAUAUACAACGAACAAGUCAGGGAUCUUCUAUCAAAUGAUAUUGCACAAAAGAGACUCGGUAUUUGGAGUACUUCUCAACCUAAUGGACUUGUCGUACCCGAUGCUAGUUUAAUUCCUGUCAAAUCAACAUCGGAUGUAUUAGACUUAAUGGAAAUUGGACAGGCAAAUAGAGCAGUUGGAUCAACAGCGCUGAAUGAAAGGAGUAGUAGGUCCCAUAGCAUUUUAACCGUGCAUGUGAGAGGUCUGGACGUGAAGAAUGGAUCUACUUCUCGAGGAUGUCUACAUCUGAUUGAUCUUGCUGGGAGUGAGAGAGUAGAGCGAUCUGAAGCAACCGGAGAUAGAUUAAAGGAAGCACAACAUAUUAACAAAUCUCUUUCUGCUCUUGGAGAUGUCAUCUUUGCUUUGGCCCAGAAGAAUGCUCAUGUGCCCUACAGAAACAGCAAACUGACUCAAGUUCUUCAGAGCUCUUUAGGUGGGCAAGCAAAGACGCUAAUGUUUGUUCAGAUAAACCCUGAUGUGGAAUCAUGUUCAGAAACCAUAAGUACUUUGAAAUUUGCUGAAAGAGUUUCUGGGGUUGAGUUAGGUGCUGCAAGGAGCAACAAAGAGGGCAAGGAUAUAAAAGAUCUGCUAGAACAGGUUGCGUCUUUGAAAGACACAAUAUCGCGAAAGGAUAUGGAAAUGGAACAGCUUCAAGUCAACAAAGUCAAAUCUCCCAGUUCAUUAACAGAUAAAAGUGGCAGUAGCUUGCUAAAACAGUCCUCUACGGCAAGCCAACAGAACCAACUAAUAUCAGGGUCCAUUGGAUCAGGUGAAACUGAAUACGAAGAUAAUGCAUCCGACGAUGGUUGCUCGGUAGGUGAAACCGAGUAUUCUGUCGGCAGCGCUUCUGAAUCAGCAGCAGAUCGAAUGCAAAAGGGUCCAUCAAGACUGACCAGAUUUUUCCUGACGAAGAAUGGGCAGCCAGCGGCUUCCAGACCAAAACCAAAGGAACCUGUUCCGAAGACGACGAUCAUAGGUCGCCGGAACUCGAUAGCUAGCCAGGUCCCGACCGCGGCAUCUUCGAUCAAGCCGCCGAAGAAACGGGUGGUCCAGUAG
rnacentral:rRNA from 1 species